UGAGCAAUCUGCCCUUCUCUUCGGAAUAAGCGUUGGAAACGACGUCUAAUGCCGAAUACGACCUCCUUUCGCAUGAUCGGAGGUGGAAAGCUCCGGCGGAGAAGGAUGAGCUCGCGGCCUAUCAGCUAGUUGGUGAGGUAACGGCUCACCAAGGCGACGAUGCGUAGCCGACCUGAGAGGUGAUCGGCCACAUUGGAACUGAGACACGGUCCAGACCUCGUACGGGAG
rnacentral:rRNA from 1 species